AUUUAUUAUAACAAAGGCAACUGCUUAACAUAAGUUGUUUGCUAAAGAGGAUAUAUUGUUUAUGGUAGAGUAAUUACCUUAACCAGUAAAUUGGAGACCAUUUUAAUACUGGGAAAAGGCUCAGUAAAAAUACACUCUGGGCACAAAUAGAGCUUUAAUGCAUUUGAUAGAGUUCAUCCUCAUUCAUAUAUAGUAUUUUUUAUAUGCUCAACUCUAUACAGUUUUUGCACAAAACAAUAAAUAAAAACAACUGGGUUAUUCACUAAAGUGAGAAUUCAAAGUGAAGUUCACAUUUUAGGCCAAAAUAGAUUAACUGAAAGCAUAACUGGCAUAGAGAAUUUUUACAAUUUGGC